rnacentral:rRNA from 1 species
AGAGUUUGAUCCUGGCUCAGGAUGAACGCUAGCGGCAGGCUUAACACAUGCAAGUCGAGGGGCAGCGCGAGAAGCAAUACUUGGCGGCGACCGGCGGAAGGGUGCGUAACGCGUGAGCAACAUGCCCGUAUCAGGGGGAUAAGCCAGGGAAACUUGGUCUAAUACCGCAUAAUAAAUAUCUAAGGCAUCUUAGAGAUUUUAAAGCUUUGGUGGAUACGGAUUGGCUCGCGUGACAUUAGCUAGAUGGUAAGGUAACGGCUUACCAUGGCUACGAUGUCUAGGGGUUCUGAGAGGAAGAUCCCCCACACUGGAACCGAGACACGGUCCAGACUCCUACGGGAGGCAGCAGUGAGGAAUAUUGGACAAUGGAUGGAAAUCUGAUCCAGCCAUGCCGCGUGCAGGAAGACGGCCCUAUGGGUUGUAAACUGCUUUUAUACGGGAGCAAUAAGGCCUACGUGUAGGCUGAUGAGAGUACCGUACGAAUAGGGACCGGCUAACUCCGUGCCAGCAGCCGCGGUAAUACGGAGGGUCCAAGCGUUAUCCGGAUUUAUUGGGUUUAAAGGGUGCGUAGGCGGUUUGAUAAGUCAGCGGUGAAAUAUUUCAGCUUAACUGGAAGGGUGCCGUUGAUACUGUCGAGCUUGAAUUUAGUUGCUGUGGGUGGAAUGUGUGGUGUAGCGGUGAAAUGCAUAGAUAUCACACAGAAUAUCGAUUGCGAAGGCAGCUCACAAAGCUAAUAUUGACGCUGAUGCACGAAAGUGUGGGGAUCAAACAGGAUUAGAUACCCUGGUAGUCCACACUGUAAACGAUGAUAACUCGCUGUCGGCGAUACACAGUCGGUGGCCAAGCGAAAGCGAUAAGUUAUCCACCUGGGGGAGUACGACCGCAAGGUUGAAACUCAAAGGAAUUGACGG